UACGGAGGGUGCAAGCGUUAAUCGGAAUUACUGGGCGUAAAGCGUGCGCAGGCGGUUUGUUAAGUCCGUUGUGAAAGCCCCGAGCUCAACUUGGGAAUUGCAGUGGAUACUGGCAGGCUGGAGUACGGUAGAGGAAGGUGGAAUUCCCGGUGUAGCAGUGAAAUGCGUAGAGAUCGGGAGGAACAUCUGUGGCGAAGGCGGCCACCUAGACCAACACUGACACUGAGGCACGAAAGCGUGGGGAGCAAACAGG
rnacentral:rRNA from 1 species